GUCUCCACCCACAGCUGAGCAGCGUUCUCCACUGUCUGCCCACUGGAGACCACAUUGAAUUCAGGGUGUGUGUGAUGCUGAUUUUCAAGUCCCUUAGAUAGAGUGCAACCUCUUUUCGUCAGAACUGAGAUGGCACUGUCACGCUUGUGAUCUGCACUGGAGGGACGCUGGUGUAAUCUGGAGCCUAGGCCUCUCCAAGUCUUAGAAAGAGCUCCAGCUUCCUUUCUGGAGGAACACUAUUUGUGCUCAUGUGUGUGCAUGGAAGAUGAUCAGGAAAGGAGAGGAAGAUGCGUGUUUGCAGGAUAACUGACUCAAUGCACUGCAAUCCAAUUCAGCCUAGGAGCCUGCAGCUCUGAAAUGAUAAGGUUUACCAAAUGAAGCUUUAUAAGAAUUUCCUACUGAUGACAAUGCCAAACUCCCCUUCAGGAAGUUGGAGAGUUAGACACCCAUUUUAACAGUGGUUGAACCUGACAGUGACUGCGCCAGAGACCAACGAAGACCAUCCUGGGAAGGACUGCUGCGCUCCUUUUGAGUGAACAGCAAAGAUAACACCAUCCAAGUGAAUAUCUAAGUAAAGUCGAUGGAAGUUCUAUCAGUGCCUCUGGCGUGGUCAGGGUUUUACCUGAUGACCAAGGCUGGCAUGAAUUUGUACCACUGCUUUGAAAGUGAAAGAAUUAGACCCAGGUGUUUCUAAGGCUGCAUUUGGCCAAAGAUU